CCUACGGGAGGCAGCAGUGGGGAAUAUUGGACAAUGGGGGGAACCCUGAUCCAGCCAUGCCGCGUGUGUGAAGAAGGCCCUCGGGUUGUAAAGCACUUUCAGUGAGGAAGAACGCCUGGUGGUUAAUACCCAUCAGGAAAGACAUCACUCACAGAAGAAGCACCGGCUAACUCCGUGCCAGCAGCCGCGGUAAUACGGAGGGUGCGAGCGUUAAUCGGAAUUACUGGGCGUAAAGCGCGCGUAGGUGGCUUGAUAAGCCGGUUGUGAAAGCCCCGGGCUCAACAUGGGAACGGCAUCCGGAACUGUCAAGCUAGAGUGCAGGAGAGGAAGGUAGAAUUCCCGGUGUAGCGGUGAAAUGCGUAGAGAUCGGGAGGAAUACCAGUGGCGAAGGCGGCCUUCUGGACUGACACUGACACUGAGGUGCGAAAGCGUGGGUAGCAAACAGGAUUAGAUACCCGGGUAGUC
rnacentral:rRNA from 1 species